AAAUUAGGAAGUUGCUAGAAUAUGGUUAGAAGAUCAGGUGUAAUUUUACACACUAGAUAUUUCAGUCAUUUGAAAUUUAUUACAGCAAAUUGUGCUGAAGCUGUCGUUCGAUUUGGUAUCCCCAAGUCUCCCAAAGUUGUUUUGAGUUCUGAGAUCAUUUCCUCCACACUUGUUAGCUGGCUCCGGUACAGGUCGUAGGCCUCCAGUGGCUACUUUAUGAUAUCGCGGAUCAUCUAUGAUGUGAAGCAGGAAUCCAAAUUAUGGAGCAGCAAGAGUCCUUUUCUGCAGGGCCUCAAGGGUCCUCAGAAUUGUAUUUUCACCAUGAACUUCUCCUGAUGGUUUAUGUGGCGGGAAGGGUUUGUCAGAGCUGCGAAUGAUGAGGCUUCUCAAGUUCCAGCUGGUAAGCAAUCCAGAAUAUUAAUUAUUCAUAUGAUAAGGUUAGGCCACAUUUCCAUUGUCUAAUGAAGGUUUUUUUUUCUAUUUCAGCUGACUGGGAUUUAUCAAUUUAUCGAUUUAUCAGAUUUAAUUGAUUUAUCAGAUUUAAUUUAUUUUAGAUUUUAAAUUUAUUUGUGAUUAAAUUUCGAGCUCUUCAAAAUUGUUCUCAAGAUCUCAA